UGGGUGUGGGGAGACCCAGCGGGCCCUGCAGGGUGCCAUCGACAAGCUGCAGAAUGACUUCAUGGCCCUCGUGAAGGAAAAUGCGGACCUGAAGGAGCGGGUGGAAAAACUAGAACUCGGACUCAUCCAGCUCUCUGGAGAGAGAGACAUGAUAAGAAAGUCCAUCAAACCAAAUGACCAUCAGACAGCA